GAUGAAGAACGUAGCGAAAUGCGAUAAGUAAUGCGAAUUGCAGAAUUCAGUGAAUCAUCGAAUCUUUGAACGCACAUUGCGCCCGCUAGUAUUCUGGCGGGCAUGCCUGUCUGAGCGUCAUUUCAACCCUCGCCCCCGGCUUUUGCUGGGAGCGGUGUUGGGGAUCGGCCGCCCGUCACUGGGAGGCCGGCCCCGAAAUAGAGUGGCGACCACGCCGUGUGCUCCUCUGCGUAGUAGUAAAUCACCUCGCAGGCGGACAGCGGUGCGGCCUGCCGUAAAACCCCCAACUCUUUCUGGUUGACCUCAGAUCAGGUAGGAAUACCCGCUGAGUUUAAGCAUAUCAAUAAGCGGAGGA
rnacentral:misc_RNA from 1 species